UACUGCUUUUCUUGGGAAAGACCGUGUUUUGAAAGCACAGAAGAAGUGUUCGAAUCACUUAGUAGUUU
rnacentral:tRNA from 1 species